rnacentral:rRNA from 1 species
GACGAACGCUGGCGGCGUGCUUAACACAUGCAAGUCGAACGGAAAGGCCCUGCUUUUGUGGGGUGCUCGAGUGGCGAACGGGUGAGUAACACGUGAGUAACCUGCCCUUGACUUUGGGAUAACUUCAGGAAACUGGGGCUAAUACCGGAUAGGAGCUCCUGCUGCAUGGUGGGGGUUGGAAAGUUUCGGCGGUUGGGGAUGGACUCGCGGCUUAUCAGCUUGUUGGUGGGGUAGUGGCUUACCAAGGCUUUGACGGGUAGCCGGCCUGAGAGGGUGACCGGCCACAUUGGGACUGAGAUACGGCCCAGACUCCUACGGGAGGCAGCAGUGGGGAAUAUUGCACAAUGGGCGGAAGCCUGAUGCAGCAACGCCGCGUGCGGGAUGACGGCCUUCGGGUUGUAAACCUCUUUCAGUAGGGAAGAAGCGAAAGUGACGGUACCUGCAGAAGAAGCACCGGCUAACUACGUG